UCCAGACUCCUACGGGAGGCAGCAGUGGGGAAUAUUGCACAAUGGGGGAAACUCUGAUGCAGCAACGCCGCGUGGGUGAAGGAGCGUUUCGGCGCGUAAAGCUCUAUCAGCAGGGAAGAAAAUGACGGUACCUGACUAAGAAGCCCCGGCUAACUACGUGCCAGCAGCCGCGGUAAUACGUAGGGGGCAAGCGUUAUCCGGAUUUACUGGGUGUAAAGGGAGCGUAGACGGUCCUGCAAGCCAGAUGUGAAAGCCCGGGGCUCAACCCCGGGACUGCAUUUGGAACUGUAAGGCUAGAGUGUCGGAGAGGCAGGCGGAAUUCCUAGUGUAGCGGUGAAAUGCGUAGAUAUUAGGAGGAACACCAGUGGCGAAGGCGGCCUGCUGGACGACAACUGACGGUGAGGCGCGAAAGCGUGGGGAGCAAACAGGAUUAGAUACCCCAGUAC
rnacentral:rRNA from 1 species